GAGGGAGCGCAUGCGGGGGCGGCGGCGGGUCCCACCUGAAGUCCUUGUCGCUGGAUGUCAUCUUCUCCAGCAGGUUGGAGAUGUGUUUCAGUUCACACAGGAGCUGUGAGCCCGCUGAUGGACAGAGGAUAUCGGGAAUGUGCUGCAUCUUUAUCUGUCAGUGUAGAAAGAGCUAUACCACGCAGCUUUACUCAGCUUAAAGUCACUUUGUCCUGCUGUGAAUAGUGGCACUCUCUGCGGCUGUGAUGGGCAUGGAUGAAGGUGCUGUUUUGCAGCCCUAUCCUCCACUGCAAGGUCAUCAAAGUGUGCUGCCCAGAGAUCAGCACACUGUGAGAGCAGAAUCUAGUGUCUCUCUACUCUUUCU